AGGCGCACAACCAGUGAGCAUGUGGUUCAAUUCGAUACAAAGCGAUGAACUUACCUGGGUUUGAAAUGUACCUGCAAAUCCCGAGAAAUCGGGACAUCCUUCGAGGGUGGUACACAGCUGUUGCAUGGCUGUCGUCAGCUCGUGACGUGAGUUGUUCUCUUAAGUGAGGUAACGAGCGCAACCCCCGUUCUGUGUUAUUGUGUCACAGAAGACUGCCUAGCAUUAUUUUGUUAGGAGGAAGGAGGGACGACGUCAAGUCAUCAUGAUGCUUAUAUCCAGGGCUACACACAUCCUACAAUGGGCUAUAACAGAGGGUUGCAAGACCGCAAGGUGGAGCUAAUCCCUAAACUAGCCCCCAGUUGGGAUUGCAGGCUGAAACUCGCCUGCAUGAACCCGGAAUUGGUAGUAAUCGCACAUCAGCAGCGUGCGGUGAAUACGUUCUCGCCUCUU
rnacentral:rRNA from 1 species